rnacentral:ncRNA from 3 species
CUUCCGUAGGUGAACCUGCGGAAGGAUCAUUACCGAGUGCGGGCCCCUCGGGGCCCAACCUCCCACCCGUGUUGCCCGAACCUAUGUUGCCUCGGCGGGCCCCGCGCCCGCCGACGGCCCCCCUGAACGCUGUCUGAAGUUGCAGUCUGAGACCUAUAACGAAAUUAGUUAAAACUUUCAACAACGGAUCUCUUGGUUCCGGCAUCGAUGAAGAACGCAGCGAAAUGCGAUAACUAAUGUGAAUUGCAGAAUUCAGUGAAUCAUCGAGUCUUUGAACGCACAUUGCGCCCUCUGGUAUUCCGGAGGGCAUGCCUGUCCGAGCGUCAUUGCUGCCCUCAAGCCCGGCUUGUGUGUUGGGCCCCGUCCCCCCCGCCGGGGGGACGGGCCCGAAAGGCAGCGGCGGCACCGCGUCCGGUCCUCGAGCGUAUGGGGCUUCGUCACCCGCUCUAGUAGGCCCGGCCGGCGCCAGCCGACCCCCAACCUUUAAUUAUCUCAGGUUGACCUCGGAUCAGGUAGGGAUACCCGCUGAACUUAAGCAUAUCAAUAAGCGGAGGAA